rnacentral:lncRNA from 1 species
CAGACAAAGUUUAUGACUUUUUUAAAUACAUUAAUAAGUGGCAAACUGAGCACAACGCGAAGUUUUCUAUUUUUCAACUUGGCAGCACUUGCAAUACCACCGGAUACUAAAUGAACGGGACCCUAUAAUAUAUGUACAUAUGUAUAUACUCGUAAAUAGCCGAGUCGCUUUAACCAUGUCUGUCUGUUUGUAUAUACAUAUAUAGAACGCACUAUUAUGGAAGAUUUUUAUAUUGAUGGCAAUUGCAUACCUUAAGGCACUAGCAUUGUCUUGGCGAUUUAUGAAAUACAAAAUGAUGCGGAAUACUUUCCGCAGCCACAUCGGUUUUUACCACAGCGUGAAGUACAUGAAAAUCCCUUUGCAUUUGUGCCAUUUAGUACUGGGACGCGUAAUUGUAUUGGACAACGUAUUGCUAUGCUUGAAAUUAAAGCGUUUAUUGUUCAUAUUAUACAACUAUUUGAGCUGCUACCAUUAGGCGAUGAUGUUGUACCGACUGUGAGAGUUGUAUGUAUUAAUAUCAAAAACGGGUUGGCAAAUGAGUUUCCGUAAGCAAAAUUUAGUCCUUUAAACACAAAGUUAAUGAAGUCAAUAUUUUUAUAUAUAUGUAUAUCCACGCAUAUUUGCAAACAAAAUUUACGAAAAUUUUAACUCGAGUUUGUU